UAUAUUUUGGUGUAUGGUGCACAUGAACUUUUGAUGUUUUUGGUGUUGGUUUAAUUCUAACAGAUAUAU
rnacentral:tRNA from 1 species